rnacentral:rRNA from 1 species
AGCGAACGCUGGCGGCAGGCCUAACACAUGCAAGUCGAACGAACUCUUCGGAGUUAGUGGCGGACGGGUGAGUAACACGUGGGAACGUGCCUUUAGGUUCGGAAUAACUCAGGGAAACUUGUGCUAAUACCGAAUGUGCCCUUCGGGGGAAAGAUUUAUCGCCUUUAGAGCGGCCCGCGUCUGAUUAGCUAGUUGGUGAGGUAAAGGCUCACCAAGGCGACGAUCAGUAGCUGGUCUGAGAGGAUGAUCAGCCACAUUGGGACUGAGACACGGCCCAAACUCCUACGGGAGGCAGCAGUGGGGAAUCUUGCGAAAUGGGCGAAAGCCUGACGCAGCCAUGCCGCGUGAAUGAUGAAGGUCUUAGGAUUGCAAAAUUCUUUCACCGGGGACGAUAAUGACGGUACCCGGAGAAGAAGCCCCGGCUAACUUCGUGCCAGCCGCCGCGGUAA